AAAGACUUAGUCCUAACCUUACCGUUAAUUCUUGCUAAACAUAUACAUGCAAGUAUCCGCGUCCCAGUGCAAAUGCCCUCAACACCUUUAGCCUAGGUUAAGAGGAGCAGGUAUCAGGCACACCCCUUUCCCAACCAGUAGCCCAAGACGCCUUGCUCAGCCACACCCCCACGGGUACUCAGCAGUAAUUAACAUUAAGCAAUAAGUGUAAACUUGACUUAGUUAUAGCAAUACUCAGGGGUGGUAAAUCUUGUGCCAGCUACCGCGGUCACACAAGAAGCCCAAAUUAACUGGAAUACGGCGUAAAGAGUGGCACCAUGUUAUCUGUUCAACUAGAGCCAAAAUACAACUGAGCCGUCAUAAGCCCAAGAUGUACUUAAGAUCACCCUGAAAACGACCCUAGCACUCACGACCAAUUAAAUGCCACCAAAGCUAGGACACAAACUGGGAUUAGAUACCCCACUAUGCCUAGCCCUAAAUCUUGGCACUUACACUACUAAAGUGCCCGCCCGAGAACUACGAGCACAAACGCUUAAAACUCUAAGGACUUGGCGGUGUCCCAAACCCACCUAGAGGAGCCUGUUCUAUAAUCGAUAACCCACGAUACACCCAACCGUCCCUUGCCAGAGCAGCCUACAUACCGCCGUCGUCAGCUCACCUCCCUUGAAAGAGCAACAGUGAGCAUAAUAGUUUCCCCCACUAGUAAGACAGGUCAAGGUAUAGCUUAUGGGACGGAAGAAAUGGGCUACAUUUUCUAAACUAGAAGACUUCACGGAAAGGGGUGUGCAAGCCCCCCUAGAAGGCGGAUUUAGUAGUAAAGCGGGACCAUAGAGCCCCCUUUAAACCGGCCCUGGGAUACGUACAUACCGCCCGUCACCCUCACCACAAGCUAUAAACUCCCAUAACUAAUAUCCCCUCCAAGCUAAAGAUGAGGUAAGUCGUAACAAGGUAAGUGUACCGGAAGGUGCACUUAGCACAC
rnacentral:ncRNA from 1 species